GACGAACGCUGGCGGCGUGCUUAACACAUGCAAGUCGAACGGUAAGGCCCUUCGGGGUACACGAGUGGCGAACGGGUGAGUAACACGUGGGUGAUCUGCCCUGCACUUCGGGAUAAGCCUGGGAAACUGGGUCUAAUACCGGAUAGGACUCCGGACUGCAUGGUCUGGGGUGGAAAGCUUUUGCGGUGUGGGAUGGGCCCGCGGCCUAUCAGCUUGUUGGUGGGGGAAUGGCCUACCAAGGCGACGACGGGUAGGCGGCCUGAGAGGGUGACCGGCCACACUGGGACUGAGAUACGGCCCAGACUCCUACGGGAGGCAGCAGUGGGGAAUAUUGCACAAUGGGCGCAAGCCUGAUGCAGCGACGCCGCGUGAGGGAUGACGGCCUUCGGGUUGUAAACCUCUUUCAGCAUCGACGAAGCGAAAGUGACGGUAGGUGCAGAAGAAGGACCGGCCAACUACGUGCCAGCCGCCGCGGUAA
rnacentral:rRNA from 1 species